CUCCCUGGAACGGAAAGUUCGGGCGUCAGGGGCGCCGGGGCUGCUCGGUCGGCGGAGCCUCCGCCUCCGGCUCGGGUCGCGAUCCUGGAGGCCGGGAUCGAGCCCCGCACCGGCUCCCCCUCGGCGGGGAGCCCGCUCCUCCCUCUGCCCCUCCCCCCCGCCCUCGCGAAGAAAAUCCUACAAAAAGCGAAGAAAGGCGGGAGAGGCCCCUUGUAGGUGGGCUCCGGAGAGCCAGCCUCGGAGCCGCGGUCGCCGGGGCGGGGAAACACCGCACGAGGGGCGCGGACUCCGGCCCGGAGACGGGCGAGCCCCGGGCUGCGGCGUGGGCAGAGCUGGUGACGCGGUCGAUGCCGCUGCUUUCCGGGCGCGUGGGCCGCGGAGGGCGCCGGCCGCGCGCGUUCCCGCCGCCGAAAAGAAGGUAACCCUGGGACAGGACGGCGGCGCUGCCAGAGGCUAGGGUGGCAGUCAUUUUGCAACAUAUAAACGUGUCGAAUCAACACUGCACACCUUCCACUUACACAACAUUAUGGGUCAAUUAUAUCAAUAAGGCGGGGGCAAGGGGCGGGCAAAAAGACAACCGAGAGCCAUCUUGUGAGCACCCCGUCUCUCGCCCCCUCCUCCCCCCCACGCAGGGGGCGAGCGCGGGACAGCAGGUGCUCAGCCCCUGGGCAGUCACGGGGCUUCCGCAGCAGCUCUGCCUCCGCGGUCUGCGAUUCUUGCAUUUGGAGCUCUGUCCUCCCCCGCAGCUGCCGCAGUGAUGCACAUCGCCCCACGGGUCUUCCCAGGUCUCUCCACCAAGCACAGGCCUCCUCCAACCACCUGACAGAGCGGCGGGCGGGCUCUUUGCAAACCACAAAUCACACUAGCCCACAGCCCAGAUGAAAGCUGAGCCCUGACCUUCCACAGCCUCCCAGUAAAGGCCAGAGGCCAAAGCACAGUGUCCUAAGACCUGAUCCCAAGAUCCACCCCCGCACAGAGCAGCCCAGCCUGCUCGCCUCUGGCAGACACGAGCCCCCAGCCGGGCAGCUCCCCAAACUUCACUCCCGCAGCUAACACCCCGAUUCGGGACCGCUGGUUUCUUCCUGUGCCCAAAGAGCAGAGCAGGACUUGGAAAGCUGCCAGCACGAUGUAAGCCAGAAGAACACCAGGAGUGGCCCUGUCUUUGCAAAUGGUUUAUUUGCAAAUUGCUUGUUGGGAACUCAGUGUAUUUUCAGCUAGAAGCAAUACACCCAAACGGAGGUUUGGUGCCAGCCAGAAAGUUCUGGUUUGAUCGGAUAAGGAAGAAAUGCUACAGCUUAAAAGAGAGAGAGCAAGCCAUUCUCUUGCACUUCCUCUCCCUUUUGAUCAUAGCAUAUCCUGGAGCACCUUGAAAUAAAUGGAUUCUAGUGCUAAGUACAGGGCACUUAACAGUCCUCAUGUGAGCGAUAAUUAAGUAAUUCCGCAAAAUAACGUGGAAAGAGCAAUAGUUCUUGACAUUUGGGGUUUUAAUUUUUCCUCGGAUGCUUUGAUCUCAAGAGUAACUGCCUUAAUUGGAGACGAGGAAGAAGAGGUCACUUCUAUAAAAACACUUGAGCUCGUGUGAACAUGUCUUUGCUGGUGCUGCUCUGCAGGUGUUCCCUACUUUUCUGGAAGCACCAGGGUUCAGCUUUGGAUGAAGCUCUCCUCCCACCCACCAGUGCUUGGUUCAUACACCUUGGGGGAUUCUGCACUAGGUUCCAAUUGUGAAGUGUGUGGUGCAGGCUGACCGGCAGAAAGCAUAGCCAUUUCCUGGCCACAAUGACUGAUUCCAGGACAGACCUAGGACUGAGCCAUAGCCAUUAGGGCAAAAUGUGAAUUUUGCUGGGUUGCUGGAAAAGGGACCGAUGGAAGGCUGGAGCUGCUGCAGCCAUCUUGUCACCCAGCAGCAAGAGCUGCCUGAGAAUGGAGCCAGUAAUACAGUCAACCUAGUAGAGAAAUGUUGGAAGGCAAGUCCCAGAGAUAGUUUCUGUACUAGGAACCAACCCCUGCUUAAGCCAGAAACUACCUCUUUUCAGCUCUAUAAACCAAUAAACCCCAUGACUGCUUAAGCAGUAAGCAUUCAAGAUGGAUUUUAUGUUACUUAAGAACACACUUGACCAGAUACAAGGAUUUCAGUCUCCUUUCAAAGUGGACCAGUCCCCAGACGGGUGCCAUGGCUCCUGACCUACGAAGAAGUCCGGGACGAUGGUCCUGUCAAACAGGGACAUUCAUUGCUCUUCAUUUCGGAGCUGCUGGGCUUUGCUGACAUUCAUGAAGAAGCCUGUUACACUGGUGAUUCUGAUUCACAGUGCGGACCACGAAGGCCAAGUGUGAUUGCAUCAGAGAGGCCAGUGGGCGCCAGGCCAGACCACCGGGGAUUUCACAACCAUAGGUGCGCAGUCUCUGCCAGCCUCCUCGGAGCCCAGCCCAUCUGAAGUGACAAGGUGAUCCCGCGGGCACAGUCCCCAUGGGACUGACGACCCAGGAAGGAGCCCCGAGCCCCCUCCCCCACCCCGGAGGAGCCACCUGGCUCAGCUGGCCUCCUGCGUUAGUCCCAGGUCAGAGGGUACACCCGGGUCCCGCGUCCAGUCACGGUGACCAAGCAAUUUCGCCCCAGCCUCCGCCCAGGAUGCCGACAGGGCACAACCUCCUGCUCAGAGGGAAAGGUCUCCUGCAGGUUCUAAAACAGGCGGCAGAGAGAAAACAAGCCAGUUCCCCUGAGUCCGUGUCCCUCCUCCAUGUGUGUCAACCCCCCCCCCCGCCGCCGCCCCAAGGCUGGGUCCACACGGCACCGGCCCGAGACUCGCUUCCUAGAAUAAAGGCCAUGGCCACAGAUGAAGGAACCCAGCUCUUCCUGCCAGGGUGGAAGGAACCCUGGAAUCUGGGUCAUUAGAACCCAAGUUCAAGCCCCAGUACCACGCCCGCCCACGCCGUGACCUUAACAAGUCACUUUUAGCCUCAUUUUCUCGGUCUGAUGAACAGACAGCCCUGGCCAACCUCGGCGGGUUAUUCUGACGGCAAAGGGAGAGCUCCGUAAGUCACGGGCGCCUUUGCUCAUCGUUUGUGUUCUGUCUCCAGCUAAGGACCCACCGUAGGACAAUGGAAGCCACCACGCCGGGGCCCAGCCUGCGGGUCACUGGGAGGAUAAAAGACCUAUCCCUACAACGCCCUCCACAUGGGGUCCGUCCAGCCCAGCCUCGGAACAACCAGGGUUGGCUACGGUGCUUCUCACUGGGUUUGCCCCUAAUUCCAUACACAUGAAUUUGCCUCAUUGCAAAAUUUACUGCAACUCCAAAAUCAGUAUUUGUUAUGCUUUCGCCAUCAUCCACAGACUUCUGUAGAGCAGUAGCAGAUCUGAGUCACUGACACGCACAGUUUCUGCCAAGGUCAAACAAGGCAACACUCUCCCUCCUCCUUCAGCCCCCACCGCACACAAGGAUCCACUCGCUUUCUGUUGGGUCCCACAGCUUCCGCAUUUUGCACUUUCGAUGGCGACUUCAUUGUUUAUGAACAGACUCCAGACGUAGUGCUGAAGAGCCCUCUCGUGAUCCUAAGGGCUCCAUAUGCCCCCGAAGAUAAUACGGACGAGACAAACCUAGCUCAAACAGCCGCUGAUGACAGGUUCAAUGUCGUCAAUGAAUCAACUCUAUUAUUAAGUAAGGCGUCUCUACUCAGAAACACACAUAAAACGGGGUGACCCAUUGACCAGUGCACAGAAAUGGGACCAGAGGCUCAGAGCGGUGGUUCGGGAUUUGCUAGUCUGCUAUCCACCUGACUUUAUCGCCUAUGACUAUGUUUGGCCCUCAACGCGGGUUUUAACUGCACGGGUCCACGUUCACGUGGCUUUUUUUUUCCAUAAAUACACUCUAGGACCAUAAAUGUAUUUUCUCUUUUGUAUAACUUUCUCAACAUUUUCUUUUCUCUAGCUUACUUCAUGGCAGGAAUACAGUAUUUAACACAUAUUAACAUGCAAACUAUGUGUCAAUCAUCUGUCUAUGGUACCGGCAAGGCUUCCGGUCAACAGUAGGCUAUUAGGAUUACAUUUUGAGGAGUCAAAAGUUCUAGGCAGGGGUGCCUGGGUGGCUCCGUUGGUUGGGCGACUGCCUUCAGCUCAGGUCAUGAUCCUGGAGUCCUGG